GACGAACGCUGGCGGCGUGCUUAACACAUGCAAGUCGAGCGGUAAGGCCCUUUCGGGGUACGACGAGCGGCGAACGGGUGAGUAACACGUGGGUGACCUGCCCUCAGCUCUGGGAUAAGCCUGGGAAACCGGGUCUAAUACCGGAUAUGACUCCAUGACGCAUGUUGUGGGGUGGAAAGCCUUGUGCGGCUGAGGAUGGGCCCGCGGCCUAUCAGCUUGUUGGUGGGGUGAUGGCCUACCAAGGCGACGACGGGUAGCCGGCCUGA
rnacentral:rRNA from 1 species